rnacentral:rRNA from 1 species
UACGUAGGGGGCAAGCGUUGUCCGGAAUUAUUGGGCGUAAAGAGCGUGUAGGCGGUCCGGUAAGUCGGCUGUGAAAGUCCAGGGCUCAACCCUGGAAUGCCGGUGGAAACUGUCGGGCUGGAGUCCGGAAGAGGCGAGUGGAAUUCCUGGUGUAGCGGUGAAAUGCGCAGAUAUCAGGAGGAACACCGGUGGCGAAGGCGGGUCUCUGGGUAGUAACUGACGCUGAGGAACGAAAGCGUGGGUAGCGAACAGG